AACCGACUGAGCCAUCCAAGUGCCCGUGCCUCUAAUUUUACAAUUGAGGAAACUGAGGCCCAGAGAAAGGAAGUAACCUGGCCAACUCGAGGGAACGGGCAGAGACAAGGAGUAUAUUGGGGGAGGAGGCACACAGGUCCCAUCCCCAGCCUAGCACAGAGCCCUCUGGAACAGACCCCCCCAACAUCAGGGAGCCAGGGGGCCGGGCCUGGGGACCCUGUGGCUUCUGCCUGGGUCGGUUGUGUCUGUGGCCUCUCCAGGGGCUGGCCGGGAACGGGGAGCAUGGGCGCCCCCGCCGAGGCCUCAGAGUCCUGGUGAAUGGCCCAGACAGCCAGGAGCCAGGGCUGAGGCAGCGGUAGGCCAGCACCGGUCACCAUGGGGGCUGAACAUCCAGGCGUGGAGUUUGCUCUCUGCCCAAACCCUGUGUCCUACUUAAUGACAAACCUCUAAGACCAGGCAGUGGGGUGAAACAGAGGAGUGUCUUUAGCAGAGUCAGGCUGGGGUCCUCUCAGGUUCUAGCUGACCCUUUCCUAUUCCAGGCCUGCUCCUUGAUGUCCGGGUGGCACUAGCUGGGACCAAAUGACACGCCCAGAAUCUGAUUGCCUCAAUAGACUGGUCGGACUUCAAGAACUUCACUCUUUCCGGAGGCCGUCCUGGGGCGGGACUGAGACAGACCUUGAACCCCCAGCCCUCGACACGGCGGAGUGGAGCCCCAGGGGGAGACAGCCCUCAUCCUAGCCUACUGGGGCCUCUGGAGCCACCUUCAGUCAGCCCUUUCUGAGGACCUGCAUUACCGAGGAGCCCCAUCACCCCUGGGACCGUCUCAGCGUUCGGAAUGGAGUCCUCUCGGGUUUUGCCACGGUUUGGAAAGAGCAUUCGCUCCACAGGGCCGUGGGGGCCUGAAGAGUUGAGGUAGAGUUGCAGAAAGUGGGGAGAGCCCAGGUAGAGAGCCUGUCUCCCUCACCCCAGGCUUCCCACACUCACCUCCUCUGGGAAGCCUUCCCGGAUGCCCCUGUAUUCUCCGAACUUCCCUGGCAUCUUCCAUGGAGACUUCCUCCCUGCCGCCUCUGCUCGUCUGGGGCCCGACCACACGCAGUGCAGGGAUGAGGAACACUGGUCUGCUUCUAUGGGGUUCCGGCCCCACUGGGAAGGGAGCCUUGGACGUCAGGAACAGCGGAGAAAGGACCAGUGUGUAAAUCAAGCUGCUGUUUUCCAGGCUCUACUAAAGCGGGUUACACACAUUCUCCAUGUAACCCUCGUGUAGCCUUCUAAAACUGCCACGAUUAUCAUUAUGUUAUAGAUGAGGACGCUGAGACACACAGACGUUAAGCUGCUGAGGUCGCACGGGCAGCACAUGCCAGAGCCCUACUUUGAGCCCCAAAGGGCCACCUGUCAGAGCCAUCAUCCACGUGUGUGGCUCAGGGGUGGAGGCAGGCGAGGGGUGGCUUCCUGGAGAAGUGGGGGGCAUGCGGGCAGGGACAGGAGGGUGGGUGUGGACUAACCCUUAGUUCCCGCGUUUGAGGGUGUGAUUGCAGGCUAAGGGUUUGGGGCAGAAUUAUGGCCCCCCAAAUGUCCACGUCCUGACCCAACCUGUGAAUACGUUAACUCCCACGUCAAAAGGGACUUGGCCAAUUUGGCCAAGUUAAGGAUCUCAAGAUCAUCCCGGAUUAUCCGGGUGGUCCCAUGUGGUCCCAAGGGUCCUUAUAGGAGGGAGGCAGGAGGGUCUGAGUGAGGGGAGAUGUGACAAGGGACAAAAGUCAGAGAGAGAGCGGAAGCCGUCACACCACCGAUGGAGGAGAGGCCAUGCACCGAGGAGCCCGAGUGGCUUCCGGGGAAGCUGGGAAAGGCAAGGAAAGGGGUUCCCUCUGGAGCCUCCAGGCGGAACGCAGCUCGGCCAACGCCUUGACUUUCGCCCCGCGGGCCCGCUCUGGACUGCUGGCCUCCAGCGCUGGAAGAGAACACGUGUGUGUUCCAACGGCAGCGGCCGGAGCAGACACGGGGCUCGGGACAGCACCGCCCUUCAGAAAGCCAGAUUCAGUCCUACCUUCCGUCUUCCGGGCCCUGUGAUGGGUCUCGGGGACACAGUGGCCAGGGGGACACCGCCCCGGGCCUGCUGAACUAGGGGCCCCUCGAGCCGAGCAGGUUAUCAGUAAGUGGCAGCCGACAGAGCCCGUUCCCAGGCUGCACGCAGGGCCUCUGUUUAUCGGAAAGGGGCUUAUCUGGAUGGUGGGGCCGGGCUCUGCAGGGGUGAGGCGGUGCCCACUGCUGCCCACACGCCCCGCGGGGGGUCCUCACCCCGCCGAGUGGGGGUCUCCACGGGCCUGCGGGGAGGCAUGAGGGGUCAGCCCCGGCGCCGACACACAAGUGCCCGAACACCGCCCGGCACGUCCGCGGCUACACUGGCCCCGAACUGGAAAUGACCCGCAGGCCAUCCGCGGGGCGGCUCGGGGGCCGCCUUCUCGCUCGGUGGGGCACUAGAACGGCCCCGAAAACAUCUGCUAAUUCUCAUCAGGCUCACACCGAGCCAGAGAGCACCUCUUGCACGACCCCGCUCAUGCAGUGUUCACAAGGAGGAAACACCAAUCUGCGUGUUGGACGUCAGGGGGGGCUGCCCGGCCGGGCGUGACUCGGGGCGCUGGGCUUCGGGAGAACUGGUGAUAGUCCGCUGAGCGGUGUACUCACGGACAGUGUCUUUUCUGAGCGCGCGUUAUAUUGCGAUGCUCAUGCAAGAAAAAGGAAAAGAAAAGAAACACGUAGAAAAGCAAAGUAAGAAAAUAAAAAUCACCCAUAACUUCAUCCUCUGGAGACAGGAGCUGUGCACGCCCUUCAGAUUUAGGUGCCUCGUGACCACAUAUAUUUUAUCAGUUAGACUCUUUGGUGGCCGGUGGCAGAAGCUGACUCCGGCUAUCUGUACUAACUAAAGCACACUUUGCUGGAUCGGGAAAAUUGCCAGACUGCCACAGCUUCACACAGUGCACAUUUAUUUCCUGCUGAGAGGCCCCACACAGCUGUUCCAGCAGGUGGAGGGUGUGGGGGCCGCCUGGUUUCACUCAGCCACCCAGACGCCCAGGCCGAAGGUGGUUCUGGGUCUCGGGUCCCCCGUCCUCACGCAGCCACGGACGGAGGAAGACAGCUGGUGCAGGAGGGGUCUCCGGGCGUGGCGUCCAGACCGUCCCUUUGCUCUCCGUUAGCCAAAUUCGGACCCGUGGCCACCUGCCAGGAGGCUGAGGCUCCAGCUUUGAGGGCCAGCGUCCCUCAAGGUGCCCUGGGAGCCACGGAGCGGGAGGUGGUAAAAGGGCAGCCGUCUGUAGCCAGGGACACCGGCCACUGCAGCUGCCAGGGACCCUUCCCAGGCUCUGGGCCCCUCCCGCAGGGUUCAGCGUCUCAGACGAGAGCACUGGCGGUCAAGCCCGAAUCCUACCACGUCCCUGGCCUUCCAGUAACCCUGGUGCAGGGGGGAAGGCUCUGCCCUCUGCCGGGGUCGCCCCACUCUCUCUCCAGGGAGAGACCACUCUCUGAAGGGCUACUGGGACAGGAGAUCGGUGCUGGACACUCAAAUAACCGUCUUUCAUAUUGUGCACUUCCCUGCGCUGUGUUGCUGGGCCCGGACCCUGUCCUUUGGCCGGUCCCACUCCCUGGGCCUCCCCCCACCAUCCCAGAGGCCACAGCCGCCCCAGGGUUUCUACAGGAUGGAGGGACGUCAAGGCCAAUCCGGUCAGUGGAACUGCCCAGAGGCCUCAUGGAAGGUAGCCACAUGGAGUCCAAGGUGGCUCAGCUUGGGCCACGUGUCACCAAAGUUUCCGUGUUACGCCCCCCUGUAAACAAGAAGACGUCCCCAGUCCUCCCGUUGCCACAACGGUGACCAGCCCACAGAAAGCAGCGGGAGGGGAAGGGAAGGAGGGCCACAAAGGUAGAAUUCACCUCUCGUUCCCAGUCUGGAGGGGAGUUGUCUUUGGGGGACCUCCCUCUGUGAGUUCCUGGGUCCCUGACAUACCCCAGUUGGCAUUUGAAAAAAUAAGCACAUAACGAGAUGCUCGACACGGUUGGUCCUCAGGGAAACGCCGACUGAAGCCUUGAGCCGUGACUCCCUUCACGAGAUGUGACUCCAAUGGACAAGACCGGUGACAGCUGGUGUCGGGGAGGCCGCAGAGCCGCUGGAACUCCCGCACGCUCAUGGCGGGGCUGUGCGAUGGCCGCUGAACAAUUAUUCCGGGGGAGCCGGGAACAAUGGCACGUCCCUCAUCAGGAUCAGGGACGAACAAACUGCCGUCUGCUCGCACGACAGAACACGUCUCGUCAACGCAAAGGAACCACUGCCCCCCCCACAGCCACGGACAGACCUCAGAAACACGGUGAGCAAAAGCAGCCGGGCCGAAGGGACGCAUUCGCGGGGGUCCACCAGAUGUGGGUUCAAGGCAG